rnacentral:rRNA from 1 species
CCCCUAGAUGUUCUGGGCCGCACGCGCGCUACACUGAACAGUUCAACAAGUCUUAACCUUGGCCGAUAGGUCUGGGUAAUCUUUGAACGCUGUUCGUGAUUGGGAUAGACCUUUGCAAUUAUGGGUCUUCAACGAGGAAUUCCUAGUAAACGCAAGUCAUCAGCUUGCAUUGAUUACGUCCCUGCCCUUUGUACACACCGCCCGUCGCACCUACCGAUUGAAUGGUCCGGUGAAAUCUCGGGACGGCGGCUUGGUCGCUUGCGUCCGACUGCUGAAACUUGAUUAAACCAUAUCAUUUAGAGGAAGGUGAGNUCGUAACA